rnacentral:rRNA from 1 species
UGGAUCCAGACUUUGAUUCUGGCUCAGGAUGAACGCUAGCUACAGGCUUAGCACAUGCAAGUCGAGGGGAAACGAUAUUGGAAGCUUGCUUCCGAUAGGCGUCGACCGGCGCACGGGUGAGUAACGCGUAUCCAACCUGCCCAUCACUUGGGGAUAACCUUGCGAAAGUAAGACUAAUACCCAAUGACGUCUCUAGAAGACAUCUGAAAGAGAUUAAAGAUUUAUCGGUGAUGGAUGGGGAUGCGUCUGAUUAGCUUGUUGGCGGGGUAACGGCCCACCAAGGCAACGAUCAGUAGGGGUUCUGAGAGGAAGGUCCCCCACAUUGGAACUGAGACACGGUCCAAACUCCUACGGGAGGCAGCAGUGAGGAAUAUUGGUCAAUGGACGAGAGUCUGAACCAGCCAAGUAGCGUGCAGGAUGACGGCCCUAUGGGUUGUAAACUGCUUUUAUAAGGGAAUAAAGUGAGUCUCGUGAGACUUUUUGCAAGUACCUUAUGAAUAAGGACCGGCUAAUUCCGUGCCAGCAGCCGCGGUAAUACGGAAGGUCCGGGCGUUAUCCGGAUUUAUUGGGUUUAAAGGGAGCGUAGGCCGGAGAUUAAGCGUGUUGUGAAACGUAGACGCUCAACGUCUGCACUGCAGCGCGAGCUGGUUUCCUUGAGUACGCACAAAGUGGGCGGAAUUCGUGGUGUAGCGGUGAAAUGCUUAGAUAUCACGAAGAACUCCGAUUGCGAAGGCAGCUCACUGGAGCGCAACUGACGCUGAAGCUCGAAAGUGCGGGUAUCGAACAGGAUUAGAUACCCUGGUAGUCCGCACGGUAAACGAUGGAUGCCCGCUGUUGGUCUGAAUAGGUCAGCGGCCAAGCGAAAGCAUUAAGCAUCCCACCUGGGGAGUACGCCGGCAACGGUGCAACUCAAAGGAAUUGACGGA